GGGAAUUCAGCACAAUAUAUACAUCGUUUUACCAUCUGCAGGGUUGAUAGCACUUAACUAGGAAAGCCAGGACAUUUUCAAAGCGGCACCUCAGCAGCUCCGUGUUGGUCUCAUGAGAGCCAUUCUUCAUCUGCCUUAUCUGUUUUUGAGAACCUCGAUCGUACACUUGGCUGUGCGGCCGCAUGAGGAUAAAAGCAACUAAGGCAGCAAAGCUGGACUCGUCCAGCUGGGCUUCCCUGUAAGCACACCUCUCGUUCUAUAAUCAAACUCAACAGAAACAGGCUCAUGCUAUUGGGACAUCAAACACGAAGAGGCUGCUGCUCUCAGAAAAUAAAUAAGCAGACAUCAAAGAGCUAUGGUAAGGAGUCAGUGUCUUCAGCAGUGGAGAUGGUGUAUCUCAUGUGAAGAAGGGUAAUUUUGCUUACCUUUUGUGAAUAAUCUCCCUGCAAUGAGGUCAGAAUCGCAUUCUCUUACUCUUCUUUAA